UACGUAGGGUGCGAGCGUUGUCCGGAAUUAUUGGGCGUAAAGAGCUUGUAGGCGGUUUGUCGCGUCUGCUGUGAAAAUCCGGGGCUCAACCCCGGACUUGCAGUGGGUACGGGCAGGCUAGAGUUCGGUAGGGGAGACUGGAAUUCCUGGUGUAGCGGUGAAAUGCGCAGAUAUCAGGAGGAACGACCGAUGGCGAAGGCAGGUCUCUGGGCCGGAUACUGACGCUGAGGAGCGAAAGCGUGGGAGCGAACAGG
rnacentral:rRNA from 1 species